rnacentral:rRNA from 1 species
AAUGCACAUACUGUGAGCUCGAUGAGUAGGGCGGGACACGUGGUAUCCUGUCUGAAUAUGGGGGGACCAUCCUCCAAGGCUAAAUACUCCUGACUGACCGAUAGUGAACCAGUACCGUGAGGGAAAGGCGAAAAGAACCCCGGCGAGGGGAGUGAAAAAGAACCUGAAACCGUGUACGUACAAGCAGUGGGAGCCUCUUAAUGGGGUGACUGCGUACCUUUUGUAUAAUGGGUCAGCGACUUAUAUUCUGUAGCAAGGUUAACCGAAUAGGGGAGCCGAAGGGAAACCGAGUCUUAACUGGGCGUUAAGUUGCAGGGUAUAGACCCGAAACCCGGUGAUCUAGCCAUGGGCAGGUUGAAGGUUGGGUAACACUAACUGGAGGACCGAACCGACUAAUGUUGAAAAAUUAGCGGAUGACUUGUGGCUGGGGGUGAAAGGCCAAUCAAACCGGGAGAUAGCUGGUUCUCCCCGAAAGCUAUUUAGGUAGCGCCUCGUGAAUUCAUCUCCGGGGGUAGAGCACUGUUUCGGCAAGGGGGUCAUCCCGACUUACCAACCCGAUGCAAACUGCGAAUACCGGAGAAUGUUAUCACGGGAGACACACGGCGGGUGCUAACGUCCGUCGUGAAGAGGGAAACAACCCAGACCGCCAGCUAAGGUCCCAAAGUCAUGGUUAAGUGGGAAACGAUGUGGGAAGGCCCAGACAGCCAGGAUGUUGGCUUAGAAGCAGCCAUCAUUUAAAGAAAGCGUAAUAGCUCACUGGUCGAGUCGGCCUGCGCGGAAGAUGUAACGGGGCUAAACCAUGCACCGAAGCUGCGGCAGCGACACUAUGUGUUGUUGGGUAGGGGAGCGUUCUGUAAGCCUGUGAAGGUGUACUGUGAGGUAUGCUGGAGGUAUCAGAAGUGCGAAUGCUGACAUAAGUAACGAUAAAGCGGGUGAAAAGCCCGCUCGCCGGAAGACCAAGGGUUCCUGUCCAACGUUAAUCGGGGCAGGGUGAGUCGACCCCUAAGGCGAGGCCGAAAGGCGUAGUCGAUGGGAAACAGGUUAAUAUUCCUGUACUUGGUGUUACUGCGAAGGGGGGACGGAGAAGGCUAUGUUGGCCGGGCGACGGUUGUCCCGGUUUAAGCGUGUAGGCUGGUUUUCCAGGCAAAUCCGGAAAAUCAAGGCUGAGGCGUGAUGACGAGGCACUACGGUGCUGAAGCGACAAAUGCCCUGCUUCCAGGAAAAGCCUCUAAGCAUCAGGUAACAUCAAAUCGUACCCCAAACCGACACAGGUGGUCAGGUAGAGAAUACCAAGGCGCUUGAGAGAACUCGGGUGAAGGAACUAGGCAAAAUGGUGCCGUAACUUCGGGAGAAGGCACGCUGAUAUGUAGGUGAAGCGACUUGCUCGUGGAGCUGAAAUCAGUCGAAGAUACCAGCUGGCUGCAACUGUUUAUUAAAAACACAGCACUGUGCAAACACGAAAGUGGACGUAUACGGUGUGACGCCUGCCCGGUGCCGGAAGGUUAAUUGAUGGGGUUAGCGGUAACGCGAAGCUCUUGAUCGAAGCCCCGGUAAACGGCGGCCGUAACUAUAACGGUCCUAAGGUAGCGAAAUUCCUUGUCGGGUAAGUUCCGACCUGCACGAAUGGCGUAAUGAUGGCCAGGCUGUCUCCACCCGAGACUCAGUGAAAUUGAACUCGCUGUGAAGAUGCAGUGUACCCGCGGCAAGACGGAAAGACCCCGUGAACCUUUACUAUAGCUUGACACUGAACAUUGAGCCUUGAUGUGUAGGAUAGGUGGGAGGCUUUGAAGUGUGGACGCCAGUCUGCAUGGAGCCGACCUUGAAAUACCACCCUUUAAUGUUUGAUGUUCUAACGUGGGCCCCUUACCGGGGUUGCGGACAGUGUCUGGUGGGUAGUUUGACUGGGGCGGUCUCCUCCUAAAGAGUAACGGAGGAGCACGAAGGUUGGCUAAUCCUGGUCGGACAUCAGGAGGUUAGUGCAAUGGCAUAAGCCAGCUUGACUGCGAGCGUGACGGCGCGAGCAGGUGCGAAAGCAGGUCAUAGUGAUCCGGUGGUUCUGAAUGGAAGGGCCAUCGCUCAACGGAUAAAAGGUACUCCGGGGAUAACAGGCUGAUACCGCCCAAGAGUUCAUAUCGACGGCGGUGUUUGGCACCUCGAUGUCGGCUCAUCACAUCCUGGGGCUGAAGUAGGUCCCAAGGGUAUGGCUGUUCGCCAUUUAAAGUGGUACGCGAGCUGGGUUUAGAACGUCGUGAGACAGUUCGGUCCCUAUCUGCCGUGGGCGCUGGAGAACUGAGGGGGGCUGCUCCUAGUACGAGAGGACCGGAGUGGACGCAUCACUGGUGUUCGGGUUGUCAUGCCAAUGGCACUGCCCGGUAGCUAAAUGCGGAAGAGAUAAGUGCUGAAAGCAUCUAAGCACGAAACUUGCCCCGAGAUGAGUUCUCCCUGACUCCUUGAGAGUCCUGAAGGAACGUUGAAGACGACGACGUUGAUAGGCCGGGUGUGUAAGCGCAGCGAUGCGUUGAGCUAACCGGUACUAAUGAACCGUGAGGCUUAACCUUACAACGCCGAAG